rnacentral:rRNA from 1 species
AAAUUGAAGAGUUUGAUCAUGGCUCAGAUUGAACGCUGGCGGCAGGCCUAACACAUGCAAGUCGAACGGUAACAGGAAGCAGCUUGCUGCUUUGCUGACGAGUGGCGGACGGGUGAGUAAUGUCUGGGAAACUGCCUGAUGGAGGGGGAUAACUACUGGAAACGGUGGCUAAUACCGCAUAACGUCGCAAGACCAAAAAGGGGGACCUUCGGGCCUCUUGCCAUCAGAUGUGCCCAGAUGGGAUUAGCUUGUUGGUGAGGUAACGGCUCACCAAGGCGACGAUCCCUAGCUGGUCUGAGAGGAUGACCAGCCACACUGGAACUGAGACACGGUCCAGACUCCUACGGGAGGCAGCAGUGGGGAAUAUUGCACAAUGGGCGCAAGCCUGAUGCAGCCAUGCCGCGUGUAUGAAGAAGGCCUUCGGGUUGUAAAGUACUUUCAGCGGGGAG